rnacentral:rRNA from 1 species
GAAUUUUGGACAAUGGGCGAAAGCCUGAUCCAGCAAUGCCGCGUGCAGGAUGAAGGCCUUCGGGUUGUAAACUGCUUUUGUAAGGAACGAAAAGCUUUGGGUUAAUACCCUGGAGUCCUGACGGUACCGUAAGAAUAAGCACCGGCUAACUACGUGCAAGCAGCCGCGGUAAUACGUAGGGUGCAGGCGUUAAUCGGAAUUACUGGGCGUAAAGCGUGCGCAGGCGGGUGUUUAAGACAGAGGUGAAAUCCCCGGGCUCAACCUGGGAACUGCCUUUGUGACAGCAGGGCUAGAGUACGGCAGAGGGGGGGGGAAUUCCGCGUGUAGCAGUGAAAUGCGUAGGUAUGCGGAGGAACACCAAUGGCGAAGGCAACCCCCUGGGCCUGUACUGACGCUGAUGCACGAAAGCGGGGGGGGCAAACA